GACCAACUCAGUCACGUGAUAGGUUGCUAGGAGUUCGCGCCUCAUCUCAUAGUUACAAAGACAUUAACCCUUAGUCUGCUGGAUUUUGAAGAUGUAUAAAAAGGGCUGUAUACUAUAAAUAACUACAAAAGAGAGUGCCCUCUUAUAAAAUGUGGUCACUAGAAUCGGACCCGCAAAGCCCCCAUAAACAGCCUUAGAAAAUCCAGCUGAAGCUGAAAGCUGAAAAAAACUACACAAACUACCAUCCCGUGCACCUGUGUCCUGUGUGAGCUGCAGGGAGAGCUGAGCAGGUCACAUGGUUAAAGAAGCAGAGAAUAUAGCUUGCUGCAGGCGCUUGUAAUGGUCCUAGCAUAUAUAUGCGAAUUAGCCUCUUAAAGAUGAAUGGGAAACUUCUUAUAACUAUUGAAUAUGAUUUAUGAGAAGACUUUGACUGGAAAACGGGACAAUUCUGCUUAGUACACCAUAUUGCUACCCUUUGUUUUUUUUUUUUAUAUUAUCCUUGUCAGCUAUCCACCUGAACAAUUGUUCUAUCCAAAUCUCCAGGAAGACAUCAUGCUCUAUUGCUGUUGUGCUGACACUAUCCCAUUCAUCACAUGUUCAUCUUAAACAAUGUUGACAGGAGGUGCUCAGUCCAUGGAUCACCCUCUAAAAAUUCUGUGUUAUAUGGAGAACGAAUAUUAGGGUAAUAAUGAUAACUAUUACACUUGUUGUUUCUUUGUUGGUAGAUGGCUCAUUUGACAAAUUAUAUUGGAUGUUUCAUGUUACCAAGGUGAUUUUAGCAGAGAGGGACAACUUAACCUGUGGUAUAUUUCAAAAGGCACUCUUCUUCUUGGAUGUGUGAGGCUUUAUCUGGAGGCAAUUGGCAUGAAAUUGACUACAUUUCUCUCUUUUUGCUUUGCAUUUGUUCUCAACCAAGUGCAGUAAAUUGUGGCAUUUAUAACUUAGACUCAAAUCUUUAGAAAUGGAAACAAUUAUCGGGUGAUCUGACUUUCUAUCACCUCCAUUUAAAAACCACCUUUCCAACAAAGGAAAUGUUAAUCACAUAUUACAAUUAUUAUUGGGAACACAAUUUAGACACAGGCCAUAUUGUUCCAUGCACGGCUUCAUCUUGAAGGUCAUAAAAUUACCUCAUGGUUUGAUGAACAGGUUGUAAUGUGAGAAAGAAUUACGUUUCUGGAAGUAACAAGUGCCAUAAUAUCUACUAAUACAUUAUGACUGAAAUUUAGACAUGUACUAUGCUACACAACACUCUGUGUUGUGGUCUUUUAUAUUAUAAAUCUGUAUAGCAUAGUAUCUGUCUAAAUUUCAGUCUUCAUAAGACAUUGGUGCCCACCACAUUUUUUAAAUGUGCAGAAUGUCCACACGUUUUCCGUACAGACGUUCUGCACAUUUUAUGCUGUAUGAACAUAGCCUUAAAGUCAAUUGCAAAUUUUUUGAGGAAAAAAAACUGAUGCAAAAAAGAAUGGUUUCACAGGAUGCAAAAGGAUGCUUUUCCCACAACAUCCUGUUUCCAAAGACUUACAUUGUACAAAAAAAUGGUUACAACUUUUUUUUUUUUUAAAGAUUGUAUAUUUGGUUAAGGGUGCAUUCAUACCUUGUAUUUACUCUCUGGCAACUGAAUCCAGCAGUAGAAUUUGAAAACCACCUGCUGCCAUUUCCCUGCCGUAACUGGGCCCUACU